UAUAUAUAUAUAUAUAUUAGGGGUGUAACGGUUCACAAAAUUCACGGUUCGGUUCGAUACGAUACACUGAUGUCACGGUUCGGUUCGGUUCGGUUCGAUACGUUUUAGAUACAGCAAAAUGUAAAAACAUCUCAACUUUUCAGAAUGCCGCAAGCGCACCGCGGGUCAUGUGACAAGAACCAACCAAUCAGCUUCAUCCUUUCCCGUAACAACGUUGAGAGCUCAGCCAAGAUGAAGGAACAGCUGAUCAUAGUUGUAUAUGGAUUGCAAUUUUGAAAUAAAUUUAGUAGCAGAGCUACUGCAAGCGAUUUUUAGAGCAGGAAAUCCAUUUAUCCUUCGCUGAAAUUUCCGCGUCUCAUGGAGAGAGCACGUCAUUGUUGCUUAGCAAAGACUGACGCCUCAUGCGCGAGCCCGAGCGCUUCUGCCCGAGCGCUCUCUUGCCAUCACCAUUAUAGCUUAAAGGGAAUCCAAAGUGCACCCAAACACCAGACCUGUUGGUUAUUGGAGGAUCUUCUAAUUUCUAGUCUGUUAAACGCAUUGGCUAUUUUGCAACGAGCCUUCAGCGCGUACUGAGUGAGCGAGCGCCUGCUGAGUAGCCUAACAUAAACAUAUAAGAUGGUGUUUUUUUCUUCUUCGGGAGUGUCAGGGGCGUUGCCUGUUACGUUGUUUGGGUUAUUGGGCUACCUUGUUGAACGCAUAUCAUUAUAUUUCUAUCUCUCUCUUUUUUUUUUUUUUUCAAAUAUAAUUAAUUACUCCAACGAACCGUUCGGUAUACAUAAUGCGUACCGCGUACCGAACCGAAAGCGUCGUACCGAACGGUUCAAUACGAAUACGCGUAUCGUUACACCCCUAAUAUAUAUAUAUAUA